ACUUGUUUCUGAAAAGCUAACUUCACUAUUCAGAGUUCUAACAUGUUUAGUCUCUUCUUCCUACCACACACCUCUUCCUGCCACGUCUCCAGAUUAGGCACUCCAACCUCGCAGAGAUGCAUCUGAAUCUAUUGUAAUUACAGUUGUAGUAUUUAUGAGGAGUCCGGGGACUGUGAUGGUCAUUGAGCACCAAUGAGUUGUGGAAGCCUCUGUAGCCAGGCUGCUAAGGCACAUGCACGGCAGCCAUUUUGUGGGUCCCAGCGGCCACGUGUGACGUCAAGCAGCCGCCCCAAACCCACCCACAUUUCUGUCAACCCACCCGCCCAACACCGUUUCGGCGUCCCCACAAUGCCACGUUGCUGACCCGUUCCGCCCAGCAAACGCCUCAGAAUUGGGUCCAUGAUACUGUCCCAUCACCAUGAUAGGAUGCAAUUAUUCCAAAAUACGGAAAAAUCCGAUAUCCAAAAUACCUCUGGUCCCAAGCAUUUUGGAUAAGGGAUACUCAACCUGUAAUAGCUUAACAAGUUCGUCCCACUGCAAUUGGGGUGGAGAUGUUAAGGAUUUCCUCAAACCACCUUCUCCAAUUCACCUCUUCCAGAGAGAGAUCGGUGAUCAGGAUAUAACCAGUGGUGUGUUGCCAAGGCUACAGUAUCCGGACCAAUGAAAAUGCAUUAUUACGUGCGGGCUCGUGGAUUCCGGAAUGAUCAUUGUCUGCGUUCCAUUAAAGUUUAAAAUGACACGCAAGCACUUCCUGCAUGAAAACUACGUCGCUUCCGGCCAACGUCAGCUGACUAGCGCGAGACUCCACACGCACAGCGGCUAGACGGAGCCUGCACUUCCGGUCGAGAGUGACCAUAGCAACCCGACCCGGCCGAUUCGUCACUUCCGGAUGCAUAUCACCAUAGCAACCCGGUAGUCUGAUACGAGGGGUAGGAACAUGUUGUUCUCCCUCUACUUACGGACCAGGGGAGACAUUAGGACUUCUGGCACAGGAUACACUUGUGCAUAGUUUAAAAACCACGCUAUGGAUUUUGGAAUUGUCAUUGAUGCCAGAUGUAGCCAUGGCAACAGGCCAUUUCCAUGUGAUUAAUAACAGUAAAACGUUUAUAAAAUGUUUGUGAUAUAAAAAAACACUAAGUGGGGACAUUAAUUCAGCUAAUUUAGGUGAAAUUGAAUAAAAAUGAAGAGUUUUAAAUAAUGUUACAUAA